rnacentral:rRNA from 1 species
AGUGAACGCUGGCGGUAGGCCUAACACAGGCAAGUCGAACGGCAGCACAGUAAGAGCUUGCUCUUACGGGUGGCGAGUGGCGGACGGGUGAGGAAUACAUCGGAAUCUACUUUUUCGUGGGGGAUAACGUAGGGAAACUUACGCUAAUACCGCAUACGACCUACGGGUGAAAGCAGGGGAUCUUCGGACCUUGCGCGAUUGAAUGAGCCGAUGUCGGAUUAGCUAGUCGGCGGGGUAAAGGCCCACCAAGGCGACGAUCCGUAGCUGGUCUGAGAGGAUGAUCAGCCACACUGGAACUGAGACACGGUCCAGACUCCUACGGGAGGCAGCAGUGGGGAAUAUUGGACAAUGGGCGCAAGCCUGAUCCAGCCAUACCGCGUGGGUGAAGAAGGCCUUCGGGUUGUAAAGCCCUUUUGUUGGGAAAGAAAAGCAGCAGGUUAAUACCCCGCUGUUCUGACGGUACCCAAAGAAUAAGCACCGGCUAACUUCGUG